rnacentral:lncRNA from 1 species
UUCCGUAUGUCAAGAGUUUGUAGGUAUCGCAAGCAACCGACGGAAUGAGGGAGCCUGCUAAUGUAUGUGCCUCUUAAAUUGAGGUACCUUAGAAGCCUGACUUCACGAAUUCCUUUUGGCAAAUUAAAGUACAUAUUAACAUUCUCAAGGUCUAGUAUCCUCAGCUUUCUGAAACUUUUGAAGAUAAGACUAAUGUUUUUCCUGUGACAGCGGACAUUGAAAAAAAGCAGAGACCGGAGAGGAGGGGUCGAAGACCCAAAAUAAUUUUUAUCCAGAGGGAGACUAUGAACAGCAAGGUACCUGGAUUUGGCUGAUAUUUCAUCAUCUCUGGUGUCAUGGAUCUGAAAAAAAAUUUCAUCCUCUGCCUUUCUGAUUGCAAGCUCUCGCAGCAAAUCAUGGACUCUGCAGCUUCUAAUCCUCUCAUCAACAGUCGUUUCUGCCACUUGGACCAUAUUCCUGCUACAAAGUUGUUCUACAUCAUAUGCUGCAGUUUCCUCCAAAUUUUUUGCAUCUCUUUUCUGGAUUAUUCCCUCUGCAACCCACAUUUGGAUCAACUUGCGCACAGAAAUCACGUGGUCUUCUGGAAACAAACCCAAAUACGAAAAGCAAAAUUUCAGUUUGGGAGAAAGGUCUGCAUAACUUAAUUCCAGAAUUGCUAAUACCCCACUCUGGCUCCUUGACAG